rnacentral:rRNA from 1 species
AUGGUGAAGAAGAGCACGAGCGUCCUGUGUUUCGUGGCCACCAUCAUGGUGGUCAUGGCUACCACCCUUCUUCUCUCCUCCUGUGAUGCCCACAAAGAGGCAGAUGAGACUGCUGCGUUUCCCUUGCCGGCGCCAUGCUACUCCAUCUCUUUGCCAAACUGUACCGACGACAAGUGCAAGAAGUUUUGCGGUGGUGAAGGCAAGCCGCCGCCCCCCAAGGCAUUCUGCAAUGACAACAAUAACUGCUGCUGUCCUGUCAUUCAAAUGGGCAUGACUAAUGGUUUCUCAUGA